rnacentral:tRNA from 1 species
UCUCCCAUGAUGUAGUGGUUAGCAUUCCAGGUUUUGAGUCCGCAAAGGACGAAUCAAUUCUGGCUACCUGGGUUCGAAUCCCAGUGGGAGAU